CGGCAGGCUUUGUGACCCUGAGGAUCUGUAAUCGGUGGCAGGAGAUUUCCUAACUCGCCCCCCUCACACGCACACACACACACACACCUAUCAUCUUUCCAAAUGAGCUGCCAGCCCUGCAUCGCCCAAGGAAGGCAAGGAGGCAACACACCGAGGUGGAAGGAAUGGGCCGUGUCAUGGCUCCAGCAUUCCAGAGGAUAACCCAGACGGCCGCGGAUUGCUGCUGGCAGCCAUACCAAGCCGCCCCCCAGGACUUCUCCCGGCCAAGGGAAUUGCUUGCCUGCAAUUAGCUGCAAAAAAAAAAAAAAAAAAAACAAACCCGCAAAAAAAACCCACAACCCCCAAGCCCGGUGUUUAUUUCUGCAGACACCCACCCUUUGGCUUCCCGAGAUCUGGGUGGGAUUGCUGGAUGGAAGAUCCUCCCUCCCCUGCAGCCAGCCUGGCCCCCCAGCUCAGCCAAGGUUUAGGGGUCCAGCGUAGGAGACGCUUUACCGCCGUGGGGAGGAGGCAGUACGCCUGGAGGCAUUGCAAGGCCUGUGGGUCUCUCUGAGCAGAGUUCCCUGGAACGGGGAUUCCCAGAGCUUGACUACAACUCCCAUCAUCCCCAGCCAAAGGCCACUGGGACACCGUCCCCGGCGGAUGGAGCAGCUGAUGUCCGGUGCCAUCGGGCCUCUGCCCCCAGCGUCCCGCCAGGGAUGAAUGACAGGCUGAGCCAGCGAGGAAAUGGUUCCUGACUGUGGCUGAACCUGCAGCUGCCGGAAUAUGCAGCCCGGGGGCCUUCUUGGUAGCGUCGCAAAGGCCGCGGACUGUGCCAAGGAGCCGAUCGCCACGUUGCGCAGGGGGGCUGCGGCCGGGAGGCAUGGUGACAACGUUCAAGAUUGCUGUGUUGGGUGCUCAGGGAGUCGGCAAGAGUGCCAUUGUCCGCCAGUUCCUCUACAACGAGUUCAGCGAGGUCUGCGUGCCCACCACGGCCCGCCGGAUCUACUUGCCCGCCGUGGUCAUGAAUGGCCACGUCCACGACCUUCAGAUCAUGGACUUCCCGCCCAUCACCUCUUUCCCAGUCAACACCCUGCAGGAGUGGGCGGACGUGUGUUGUCGUGGCCUCCGGAGCGUUCACGCCUACAUCUUGGUCUAUGACAUCUGUUGUUUCGACAGCUUUGAGUAUGUCAAGACGAUCCGGCAGCAGAUCCUGGAGACCAGGGUCAUCGGCACCUCCGACACACCCAUCAUCAUUGUGGGGAACAAGCGGGACCUCCAGAAAGGCCGGGUCAUCCCCCGCUGGAACGUCUCCAACCUGGUGAAGAAGACCUGGAAGUGUGGCUACAUCGAGUGCUCGGCCAAGUACAACUGGCACAUCCUCCUGCUCUUCAGCGAACUCCUCAAGAGCGUGGGCUGCGCCCGCUGCAAGCACAUCCACACCACGAUCUGCUUCCAGGGGGCCUUGAGCAGGAACCGAUGCACCAUUAUAUUUUUUGCUGUUUCCUCCUGGAUUUCUCGGGGGAGGCAUUCUAAGGCUGCUAUCAAACCACUUGAAAAAAUGCACAAGGUGUUAUGGAAUGAAGAGUCAAUUAAAAGGAAAUAUCAGGUCUGUUUCCCCCUUGUUCUGUAACCCGGUCUCCGUUGUCUUUGUUUCUCCUAUCUUGGAAGCGCCGUCAGGUGAGCAGUCCAGGUGCGGGGAAGCCUAUGUCCAGAUGGCAGGGGAGAUUCUGAGGCAGGGGGACAUGUGCCCCCUGCAAAGCAUUUCCCACCCCAACCUCCACCCGACUGGAACUUGACAGCAAAGUUUCAGACAAUAUGGUCCUAGUAUAUUGUAGACCUAUAGCUUGAAUUAAUUGUUUGAAAAGGGCUCCGUUGUUUAAAGAAGCUUAAUUCAUUCCCUCCUCUCCCCCAGGAAAAGCAGCAGAAGCUGGGAGGGAGGAGACCCCCUCCAGCCCCCCAGGAGCCAGGUAGCGGGGAGACCCCCUCCAGCCCCCUGGGAGCCAGGUAGCGGGGAGACCCCCUCCAGCCCCCCGGGAGCCAGGUAGUGGGGAGACCCCCUCCAGCCCCAUGGGAGCCAGGUAGCGAGGAGACCCCCUCCAGCCCCCCGGGAGCCAGGUAGCGAGGAGACCCCCUCCAGCCCCCCAGGAGCCAGGUAGUGAGGAGACCCCCUCCAGCCCCCCAUGGGAGCCAGGUAGCGAGGAGACCCCCUCCAGGCCCCCUCCGGAAGCCAGGUAGUGAGGAGACCCCCUCCAGCCCCCUGGGAGCCAGAUAGCAGGGAGACCCCCUCCAGCCCCACCCCGGGAGCCAGGUAGCGAGGAGACCCCCUCCAGCCCCCUGGGAGCCAGAUAGCAGGGAGACCCCCUCCAGCCCCACCCCGGGAGCCAGGUAGCGAGGAGACCCCCUCCAGCCCCCUGGGAGCCAGAUAGCAGGGAGACCCCCUCCAGCCCCCUGGGAGCCAGGUAGCGAGGAGACCCCUCCAGCCCCCCCCUGGGAGCCAGGUAGUGAGGAGACCCCCUCCAGCCCCCUGGGAGCCAGGUAGUGAGGAGACCCCCUCCAGCCCCCUGGGAGCCAAGCCAACUUCUUCGCUUCCUUCUUGGCCAGGUGCUUGGCUGAGUGAGAACAUGUUUGUGGAGUGGAGGAGACGCAGGGUCAUCUCCCCUGCAGACUUCAGCUGGCCUGGUCUUGACCCCUCUCCCAACCACCCCACUUUUUCCUGACAUAUCAUCGUGGACAGGAGGAGAAAAAGCAAAGCAAACAGAGAGGUUUGGCUGAAUCCAAAAAGAUAGUCGUUUUCCAAGAGAAAUCCAGCCCAUUGUCUGAAUAAGUUUGGAAACGCCAAGGAAGUUUCAUGAGGAAGGUAACUAAGCUAACAACUUUAAUCCCUUUCCCUGUCUAAGUAUUUCAUGCAGAGCAAGAUCCUCACUCCCCUAAUAACGUUCUUUGCCACCCAAACUAGUUGCUCUGGAGUCGCCCUUCCUAUGCCGUUAUGAAUCGUAUCCUUUCCGGCUAGUAUUCAUGUCCAGUUCCAGAAAGACAGUUUUAAUCGCCAUUUUAUUUUAUCGGUCUAAAGUAUAUAUGGUUAUUGCACUCCUCUUAUAGAGUUGCAUAGCAAGCCAAAGAGCUAAGGUAUUUUGCACCAAGGAUCCCAAAUAUCACCACAUCACACUUUAAAGUUAGUGUCUGAACUGGAAUGGUGGAUCAGAUUGGUGGAUCCGAAAUGAAGCCUGACUGUGUAAUGCACUCUUUGUCUACUGGCAGUCCUACUGAAAUCUUUCUGGCUUUUUGAUUAAAGUUGGGCAAAUUCAAAUCAAUUCAGAUGGAUAUCCACUCUGUCCACUGGUUCCAAAUUGAAUCGAUACGAAUUCGAUUCAAAUUCGAUUCAAAUUCAGAUUGGUUCGUGCGAAUUUUGUGCACACCCCUACUAGAAGACCUCCAACUCUCACGUUAUAGAAUUUGAGGGUUGAAAGGGACAGAAACCCCAGGCCUUAUUGGCAGCCUUGGGGUCCCUCCGUUUCUAGCAAAGGCUACCCUGACGUUUCAAAUUCAAGGGCUUCCCCUUCUCCAGAUGUGGGCCUAAACAUGUUAGCUCGGGGCAAACCCCUCCGGGCACCCACCGUUUCAAAGAGCGGCUGUGAUUUCACGGUGCUUGUCUCACAUCUCUGCUGGGAUGUGUCUCGAAAGCGGGGCCCGUUUGAAAGGAGCAAUUCUCUCCCCUGAGUCAUCUGCUGUUUUCCUUCUGUGCAAAGCCUCUCCCCUCCUCCCCCAGAAAGAGUCAAACAGUCCCCGCUUGGCAGGGCAUGCUUUCAAGAGACAAUUCAGCGAUUGUUCCCUGGUGCAAAGGGAAGAAGCCGCUCUGGAUGGUGACGGAAGAAGGAGGACACCGGCGGAGUCAGAAGCGAGCAGAUGCCAGGACCCACAGUGGGCAGAACUGCACGCCACAUGGCUCUCCAUACAGGUAAAUGCGGGUGCAUUGGUCUUCCUUCGUCGUCUUAUUCGCCAUCGGCUCCUGCACAACUUGUGUGUUUGAACUCUCAAAAGGUGCAAUCGGAGAAUCUAAUAGGGAGACAGGAGCUGAGCCCAAGAGAUCUUCUCAAGAACCUCUUUUGUUCUGGACCGCUUUGCAAGAAUGGGUCCCUCCAACUCCGUUGCUUCUGGGACGACUGCCGAGAAUCCACCCUUGCUCUCAUCCAUGAACUUCUGGAUGCUUCAUCAGAAGCCCUUGGACCAUGAGAUGAGCUUCAGACCUCUUCCCAUUUUACGCACACCUCAAGGAAGUCUCAAGGCUUCUGAUAAAAGAUCUAGAAAAACAGGGGAUCUCCAAACAAGAUCUGGCAAAUGUUUUGUUGUGUUUCCUCUUCUAACUUUGGCUCCCUUCUCCUUGGAGACAGGCGCACACUACAAAACACUCCCUUUUCACCCUGCUGGAUCGGAUGUCGCUUCACUUCUUUCCGCAAUGUUGAUCAGCAUUGAUCAGAAUGAGAUCCCGCCUAUGCAGAACUGCCCUGUUCUUUGGAAACACGGGAGAACGAUGACUGGCAUAUAUUAUUUUGUCAACAGUGAAGGAACAUAAAAAGCUGCUGUCUGCUGAGUCAGACCCUUGGUUCGUCUACUCUGACUGGCAGCAACUCUUCAGGGCUUUAGGCAGGAAUUUCCCCCAGGCUUACCUGGAGAUAGGGGAGGGACGGGCCUUCUCUGUGGGAAUGCACUCCCAGCCAAAAUAAGAGCCUCUCCAUCUCUGAAAGUUUGUGGUGGUGGGUUUUUGUGUGUGUUGUUGUUGGUUUGUUUGGAAAGGACUAUUAAGAUGCAUUUAUUCAUCUAGGCUUUUAAUUAGACAUCAUUUAUUUUUAAAAUGGUUUUAAUCUUUCUUUUAAUCUGUGUUGUUUUUAUUGUAAAACUACCAGAGAUGUGAGUUUUUUGGAGUGGUGUAAAAAUAGGCGAAGUAAAUAUUUAUUUACU